UUGUGGAGGAGGACGCCGAAGGUGGGGCUAAUGACUGGGGUGAAGUCGUAACAAGGUAGCCGUACCGGAAGGUGCGGCUGGAUCACCUCCUAACAGGGAGACAACAAAAUGUUUAAUAUUAUUAUUUUGUCACCUUAGGUCGAUCGGUACCUCACAUUUUUAAUUUAUUAAGAAUUUCAUUUCCUAAGUUUUUCUAGGUCACACCCAUCAUUUUCCUGGGCCAUUAGCUCAGGUGGUUAGAGCGCACCCCUGAUAAGGGUGAGGUCCCUGGUUCAAGUCCAGGAUGGCCCAUAUCUCUAUGUUGGGGGUAUAGCUCAGUUGGUAGAGCGCCUGCUUUGCAAGCAGGAUGUCAGCGGUUCGAGUCCGCUUACCUCCACUGAUUACCACCUCUUCCAUAAUCGGUAGAAAGGAAAUGUUUUGAGUUGUGAUCAAAUUCUGAACGAAUCUAGCUUCCUAAUAAAUUUAUUAAGAUGCUGGACUCAUUGAAUUAAUUUCAUUGUUUUCAGAGAACCUUGACAACUGCAUAGAUUAUUUUUAAAGACAAUAAGCAUCUUUAAUGAUGCAGAUUUAUUAUUUUUGCGAAUGCAUUAAUAACAAUUCUAUUAAGCUGAUGCUUCAAUUUUUGAAGUUAUUGGUCAAGCUACAA
rnacentral:misc_RNA from 1 species